UUUUCUCUUCGUCUUCUCUUCUAUUCUUCUUCCUUCUUCUUUGUUCUUCUCACCGAUCACACAGAGAGACACGAGAGAGUGAGAUGGAGUGAUUGAGAGGGAGUUGAGAGCAGAGAGUGAGAUCGAGACAGAGAGAUGAGACCGAUAGAGAGAGAUCGAGAGACUGAGAGGGAAAGAGAGACAUAGAGUGUGAGAUAGAGGGAGACUGAGAGAUCGAGAGAGAGUGAGAAGGAAGGAUCCGGUGGAUCCGUGAGCUGGAGACCCGACAGAGAGAGCAAGGGGAGCCGAUUUUCGGCAAGCCCGUGACCCGCAACCCGCCAGACCCGAGAGAGAGAACCCGGGCGGUUCGAGAACCCGUGACCCGUUUGUGUGAAACCCGAACGACCCACUGAACCAGAGACGAUCCAGCAGCCUGAGACGUGAUUUCCGGCGAAGACCCGUUAACCCACGAAGGCCCGUAACCCAGAACCACUCGGACCCGCGACCCAUGACCUGCUGAACCCGUGAGGAAGACCCGGUUCUCCAAGUGCGGUUUCCGGCGACUUUUCCGGCAGAAAUCGGAGGCGAUUUUUAAUGGAUUUUGAGGAAAAUCCCCAAGGCUUGUGUCAUGAUUGGAGACGUAGACUUGUUCUCCAAUGUAGAGUUCGAGUAAUUGGAAUCCAGUGGAAGUUCGAGUAAGGAGUCUAAUGCAGUCAAGGUGGGUAUUCCACUUACUGAGAAAAUAUAUAUUUUUAUAUAUAUUGGAUUGAUAAAAAUAUAUAUGUUGUUUAUGAAUCCGAACCAACCAUAUGAUGAAAUGUAUAUGCUUUGAGAUGAUUUGUUUAGUUUCGAUUAUGUUUAAACUAUAUCAAUGAUGUUAAAGAGAUAGUGUAUGAGUAAAAAGUAUUGAAUAGAUUUAAAGUGUUAAGUUCUGCGGUUGAGAUUUAAAUUAUGCAAAUUGUUUGAGAACAUGUCAUGUUGAAACUGUGUAGAGUUUAUAAAGAAACUAAGUUUUGAAUGUCUUCGAAAUGAUUGAUAAAAUGUUGGAUUUGUUUAGUUUUGAGAGGACGUGAUUUAACAACUGCAUGAUUUCAGCGUGAUACAGUAGUGAAAUAUAUACUGGUCAAGCACGGAACAUUGAGCAUGUAGUAUAGAGCAUACAUAUCAGAGUAACAGUAUCAGCACAUUGAGGCAGUAUCAGCAACACAUUGAGGCAUGCAUAUCAUGUAUAGCAUUGUUUUAUGAGUGAUGUUUUUAUGCUAUGAGUAGUUUUGCUAGACGUAUUGGUAUGCAUAAGAGUUUUCAUGAAAAGAUCUUAUGUAUAUUUUUAUCGGAUGGUCACAUGUGUUAAUAUCAUACAUUGAACUUGAAAGUACAUGGAUACAUGACUACCCAGGUGUGAGUAAUGGCAUGUCUAUGAGUAAGAAGGUCGACUGUUCUUGUUCUUCAGGAAAGACGUGUUAGCAUGAUUGAGUUUAACUCUAGUGCUCUUAUGAUCUACUGACGUCAAGGCACGAAGUUGAAAUACGAUUAGAGAUGGUGUUGCGAGUGUUUUGUUGACGGAUGUUAUCCUAGUACGGAAGAGUAAGAUGCCAUGUUCUUUGCUUAAGACCUAUGUGUAUACGUGAUAUCUGUGAUGGAGUGAUCGUGUGCACAUAUGUCUGAGCGACCGUUGAAAAGUAUUAUUAUAGACGUUUCUAUAUGUAGAAAUUUCCAAGGAGGGAUGUCUGGAAUUUCUACAUAUGUUCACAGCUAUAUAGUAUGUUUUAAAUGUUUUCUGGAUAGUCGGUGUUUGCUGCAUUAGCUAUUGGUAAAUUGUGGCUAAUAUAGUGCUCGCACGACUAAAAAUAAAAUAAGGUUGGUUCUUUGUGAAAACUCAGUUAGUCUUAUACCAUUGAGGUCUUAGUAUGUUUUAUGCUAAGGUGGUGAACUCAUUCUUUCACCUAUGCGGAUGUGGAUACCACCACAAUCGUGUAAAUGAUGUUUCUUUGGCUGCAGGUACUUCGGUAUAGUCGAUGGGUCGGUAGCAGUGUGCUUGGGAUAUUAUGACUGAAGCUCACCGCGACGGUUGUAAUUGUCGGACCACGGGUUGUCCACUAUUUUAUAGGUUUGGUAUAGCUUGUGACGUUUGUGUCACAUAUUCUUUGUAAAGCCAUAGUUAUUAUGUAAAUAUAGUGUUAAUAAGACUUAAUCAGAUAGAUGUUAAAUGACUCUUUGUUGUAAUUAAUUUGUAAUAGAUGUAUAAGAAGUAAUUUCCGCUAUUCAGAUUUAUGUUUUCCGCUGCA